CCUACGGGCUGCACCAGUGGGGAAUAUUGCACAAUGGGCGCAAGCCUGAUGCAGCCAUGCCGCGUGUAUGGAGAAGGCCUUCGGGUUGUAAAGUACUUUCAGCGGGGAGGAAGGUGUUGGGGUUAAUAACCGCAGCAAUUGACGUUACCCGCAGAAGAAGCACCGGCUAACUCCGUGCCAGCAGCCGCGGUAAUACGGAGGGUGCAAGCGUUAAUCGGAAUUACUGGGCGUAAAGCGCACGCAGGCGGUCUGUCAAGUCGGAUGUGAAAUCCCCGGGCUCAACCUGGGAACUGCAUUCGAAGCUGGCAGGCUAGAGUCUUGUAGAGGGGGGGUAGAAUUCCAGGUGUAGCGGUGAAAUGCGUAGAGAUCUGGAGGAAUACCGGUGGCGAAGGCGGCCCCCUGGACAAAGACUGACGCUCAGGUGCGAAAGCGUGGGGAGCAAACAGGAUUAGAUACCCCGGUAGUC
rnacentral:rRNA from 1 species